rnacentral:lncRNA from 1 species
AUGCAAAACUGCUCAGGAGCUAUAUUUAGUCUGGGCCCUGGAUACACCAAGUGCACAGACACAAAAAGUUCCUUUACUGAUCUGACAUCCCUCAGGUACCCUAUGGCACUCUCUUGUCCCAGUGUACACACACCUCUGCCCUCUGCUGCACUUUGCUGCCCUUGUGUAGCUGUGAAGAAAACAGAUGUGCGUGUCUCAUCCAUUCGGUGUGUCAGAGUUGCUCUGGAGCCAUGAUGUGAAACCAGGUGAAGGCUGAGGAAAGGUAGGAAACCGUGCGCAGUCUUUAAAGCUUCACAAGUCCUGGGGAGAACAGUAAUCUCAGUCUACACUUGGGGCUAAAAGCUUUGCAAACUGCCUGUGCCUGAUCUGUUUCCCACUGUGAGUUAGCAGUGUAGUUUGGACCAACCUGUCUUGAGGGCAAAACUUGGAGAACCUUUAAUGUAGCAAGCCUGGUUCAAGCUGUGUAUCUUCUUUUAGCAUUGGAGACAGAGCAUGCAGGGGAAAAGGAGUCCUCUUCUCUUGCUCAGAAAGCUGACAGAUUCCAGAGAUCUUGCUCUAAGCAAGCUUUCAUGCUGCUUGUUGUCUUGUCUCCAAAAUGUGUUGACUGUUCAGGGAUGCACCUUUAAAAUCAGUUAACCUUUGUUCAGGAAACCAUUGCCCCUGCACAUUCUGUUUUUAGGAAAGAAGGCAACAUCUGUAUACUGUUUGGACCCACACUAUCAAAAGAAAUGGUGUUCAUCUUGGGUAUCCCGGAUCCAUUUCCAUAAUAUUUUGCAAUCUAGCUGAUGAUGAUCUGGCCUAAUUCCCUACUCCUCAGCACAUUUUCAAAUUCCUGCGAGCAGCCUUUCCGUGACUGUCCUUACAUGACAUAGCAGUGACACCUGCUCACCCUCAGCCAGCUUUAACUGCUAGCUGUUGUGAAAGACAGAAGAUAGUGUCCACGACUGAUAGACUGAUAACCACCCAGAUAAGCAAGCAGAAGGAUGCAAUAGGACCUCUGCUGCCUGUAUGCAAAGUGCUGAUGAAAGGACAUUUUAUUAUAGGCUUAAUAAUAUCACCUAGCAGCAUUAGCUGUUUGGCCUUAGUUGCCUCCUCUGAAAACAUGCUCCAAGUCUUUGGAUGAAAUCUCAAAAUAUUUAGCCUGACUACAUUCCCUAGCCCACUGAUUCAUUUAAAAAGGGCUACAGUCUGGACACAACUACAGAUGUGGUUCUUCUAGUUUCUAAAAGCAGGGAUUAGACUCUGUUGUAGGCUCCUGGCUCUAGCAAAAAUAAGGCUCCUGCAAGCAUGGGAUAAAAAAGCGUUUAAUGGGUCAUGAAGUCUUUGCUGUUACCCGCAGCCUUGUCAGAAAAUCCUGUGAAUAAACUCCUGUAGUUCUCUCA